rnacentral:rRNA from 1 species
GAUGAACGCUGGCGGCGUGCCUAACACAUGCAAGUCGAGCGAACCCUUCGGGGUGAGCGGCGGACGGGUGAGUAACGCGUGGGUAACCUGCCCUGUACACACGGAUAACAUACCGAAAGGUAUGCUAAUACGAGAUAAUAUAUUUUAAUCGCAUGGUUAAGAUAUCAAAGCUCCGGCGGUACAGGAUGGACCCGCGUCUGAUUAGCUAGUUGGUGAGGUAAUGGCUCACCAAGGCGACGAUCAGUAGCCGACCUGAGAGGGUGAUCGGCCACACUGGAACUGAGACACGGUCCAGACUCCUACGGGAGGCAGCAGUGGGGAAUAUUGCACAAUGGGCGAAAGCCUGAUGCAGCAACGCCGCGUGAGCGAUGAAGGCCUUCGGGUCGUAAAGCUCUGUCCUCAAGGAAGAUAAUGACGGUACUUGAGGAGGAAGCCCCGGCUAACUACGUG